rnacentral:rRNA from 1 species
AGGGCGCACGGAGGAUGCCUUGGCACUAGGAGUCGAAGAAGGACGCGACAAACGGCGAAACGCCUCGGGGAGCUGUAAGUGAGCUUUGAUCCGGGGAUAUCCGAAUGGGGAAACCCGCUAGUGGUUAUACGCUAGCACCAUAUGGUGAAUACAUAGCCAUAUAGGAGACAGACCCAGGGAACUGAAACAUCUAAGUACCUGGAGGAAAAGAAAGAAAAAUCGAUUCCCGUAGUAGCGGCGAGCGAAGUGGGAAGAGCCCAAACCGGAUUUAUCCGGGGUUGUAGGACCUUCAUAAUUGACAAAUCAUGAUAGCCGAAUGGUCUGGGAAGGCCAACCGUAGGGGGUGAGAGUCCCGUAGGUGAAAUUGUGAGAUGCAUGGAAGGAAUCCUGAGUACGGCGGGACACGUGGAAUCCCGUCGGAAUCAACGAGGACCAUCUCGUAAGGCUAAAUACUACCUAGUGACCGAUAGUGAACCAGUACCGUGAGGGAAAGGUGAAAAGAACCCCGGAAGGGGAGUGAAAGAGAACCUGAAACCGUGUGCCUACAAAUAGUCAGAGCCCGUUAAUGGGUGAUGGCGUGCCUUUUGUAGAAUGAACCGGCGAGUUACGAUAUCGUGCGAGGUUAAGCAGAAGAUGCGGAGCCGUAGCGAAAGCGAGUCUGAAUAGGGCGAAGAGUACGAUGUUGUAGACCCGAAACCGUGUGAGCUAGCCAUGAGCAGGCUGAAGGUCAGGUAACACUGACUGGAGGGCCGAACCAGGGCACGUUGAAAAGUGCUUGGAUGACUUGUGGCUAGGGGUGAAAUUCCAAUCGAACACGGAUAUAGCUGGUUCUCUCCGAAAUAGCUUUAGGGCUAGCCUCGAUGGCAAGUCUACUGGAGGUAGAGCACUGAAUGGGUGAUGGCCCCACCUCGGGGUACUGAUCUCAAUCAAACUCCGAAUGCCAGAUAGAUAUAAUCGGGAGUCAGACUGUGGGUGAUAAGGUCCAUGGUCAAAAGGGAAAGAGCCCAGACCGCCAGCUAAGGCCCCCAAGUGUCCGUUAAGUGGAAAAGGAUGUGGAGAUGCACAGACAACUAGGAGGUUGGCUUAGAAGCAGCCAUCCUUUAAAGAGUGCGUAAUAGCUCACUAGUCGAGUGACUCUGCGCCGAAAAUGUACCGGGGCUAAACGGACCGCCGAAGCUGCGGAUUGACAUUAGGGUCAGUGGUAGGAGAGCGUUCUAACAGCGGAGAAGCAGUACCGGAAGGAGCUGUGGAGCGGUUAGAAGUGAGAAUGCCGGUGUGAGUAGCGAAAGAUAGGUGAGAAUCCUAUCCAUCGAAAGCCUAAGGUUUCCAGGGGAAGGCUCGUCCGCCCUGGGUAAGUCGGGACCUAAGGUGAGGCCGAAAGGCGUAGCCGAUGGACAACAGGUUGAUAUUCCUGUACCACUUAUUAAACUGAUGGAGUGACGGAGAAGGCUAAGUUGAGCGUGUUAAUGGAUUCACGUGUAAGCAGUGAGGUGGUCAUGUAGGCAAAUCCGCAUGGCAUAACAUUGAGCUGUGAUGCCGAAGCCGAAUGGCGAAGUCAACUGACGUCACGCUUCCAAGAAAAGCUUCUAGGGUUAAUUUAAUAAGUGCCCGUACCGAUAACCGACACAGGUAGGCGAGGAGAGAAUCCUAAGAUGAGCGAGAGAACUCUUGUUAAGGAACUCGGCAAAAUGACCCCGUAACUUCGGGAGAAGGGGUGCUUGUGAAAGCAAGCCGCAGUGAAUAGGCCCAGGCGACUGUUUAUCAAAAACACAGGUCUCUGCUAAACCGCAAGGUGAUGUAUAGGGGCUGACGCCUGCCCGGUGCUGGAAGGUUAAGAGGAGAGGUUAGCGCAAGCGAAGCUUUGAAUUGAAGCCCCAGUAAACGGCGGCCGUAACUAUAACGGUCCUAAGGUAGCGAAAUUCCUUGUCGGGUAAGUUCCGACCCGCACGAAAGGCGUAACGAUCUGGGCGCUGUCUCAACAAGAGACUCGGUGAAAUCAUAGUACCUGUGAAGAUGCAGGUUACCCGCGACAGGACGGAAAGACCCCGUGGAGCUUUACUGUAGCUUGAUAUUGAGACUCGGUGGCACAUGUACAGGAUAGGUAGGAGACGAAGAAACCAGGACGCCAGUCUUGGUGGAGUCGCUGUUGGGAUACUACCCUUGUAGUCACUGGGGUUCUAACCCGUGGCCCUUAUCGGGUCAGGGAACAGUGUCAGGUGGGCAGUUUGACUGGGGCGGUCGCCUCCCAAAGAGUAACGG